GCAAUUCGAGCGAGAGAAGAAGCAACAGCUCCAGAUGUAAUUGCUGAUCAAGAAAACGAACUGAAUCGUGGAAAGGAGAAAAUUCAAGAAUAGUCCCUGAAUUUCUACGACUUUUGCAAAUUAGUCCAGAUUGACUUGAAGUGAAGUGGGUAGAUCGGAUCAACACAACAGGGCACACUAUUCAGAUCAAUUCUGGUAGUUUUUGUUUUAUGUUUAAAGAUUUAUAUGGCAUGUAUAGAGUUUGAAUGAAUU